GUCCUGUCUUAGCAUAUCCCAGGGCGAAGUCUGGGCUUCAUCUUGCAGCUAACGUCCUUCUGUCAGCAUCUCCAAGCAUCUCUAAGCAUCAGAGCCUGGAGGGGAGGGGGUGGUCCCGAGACCCCACUGUCCUGCAGCUCACCUGCAGGGAUGGGGCAGCUAGGGAUGUUCCCCGUGGGAAAGAACCAGCUGGCGGACUUGGACUGGGGAGGGACUUUUGGGGGCUCUAAGGGGGGCUUCCUCCUGGGCUGGGGCUAUCAGGACGGGGUCGGGCUGUUGUGGCUGCACGUGGAUGGUGUGUAAGGUUGGUGCUCAGACAGCGUGGCCUCAAGCCCCUGCCCAGGGCCCCUUCCUGCCCCCCCCACCAGGGCUCCCCCAACCCGGGUUCCCCCCCUCACCCUUCCUGCUCCUCACCCUUCCUGCCCCCCUCCCAUAGCCUGGGCUGCCCCUGCUUGUCUGGCUGUACCUGGCCCCUGUUCUGGGAGACACUGGGUCCACCAUGAGAACAACGUGUCUUCCGGGACAGGACUUGUCUGCCUCCUCCUCCUGGGGAAGGCCGGCCACUCGCAGAGUGGGCCUUGCCUUUCGUUGACUUUCUGUGGUUGCAGGAGCUGGCAGAGUGUGUGGUGGCCAGUCUUUCUGGGACCACCAGUGUGGGGGGCUGUCCAGGCUCCCCACUGCUAAAGCGGAUGCCACACGACGGGCUGGCUUGACAACAGGAACUUACGGGCUCACAGUGGCAGAGGCUGGAGGGCUGGCUUCCUCCGGGGUCUCUGUCUUCUGGCUGUGGCCAUCCAUGGUCCUUGGCUUUCCUGUCACAUGGCGAUGCACAUGGCGGUGUCUCCUUUCCCUCCUGAGUCCACUGACUUCCAGUGUCCGGCUGCUCUGUGGCUGCAUUUUUGUGUCCACUUCCCUUGGCUUGUGAGGAUCUGCCCUUUGGAGCAAGGCCCCUCCUCCAGCAAGAGCACCUGGACAGCGGCAUCUUCCGAGUCCCGUCCACAGGUGGCUGUGGGGUGCCCAGGCUUUGAGGGCCUGAGCCCCAGGUGUGUGGGGUAGAGCAGCCAGGUCCGGGCUUCACUGCUGCGAGGCCCAGACAGUGCUGCUGAGGCGAAAUCCGCCCCUGAUGGAGCCCGGGGUCCUGACAUCACAGAGGUUUUCACCUGCUGAGCUCAACAACAGGGUGUGACCCACUGUUGUACAUGCAGCGAACUGGCCGAUGGCGGUGCCUGUGGGGAAGUUGAUCUUCAGGAGGUGCCAAUGGGGUCCAUCCACGGGGGACAGAGAACAGAUUCCAAAUACGGGACCGUCUCGCAGGUCAGAGCCCUGGAGAGGAGCUGGAAGGGCGGCGCUUCCGCGGGAAGGUGCUGACUGAUCUUCCUGCGGGGUAAGGCGAGGCCGCUGGAGCUGAACAUGGGGCUGAGACGGCAGCCGGGUGGUUUCCUCUCUCCACCGCGUGCA